CACUCAAUUAAAUUAAAAAGAAAGAGAGUGAGAAAUUUGUAAUUAUCUCAAAACGUGAAAUUAGAAUAAUUAGUUGAAGUUGAACUCCAAUUGAAAUGGAUAAAGAUCUACAAAUUAAAAAAUAAAUAUUUUAAAAAUUUAAAUUGUAAAAAAAAGAUAGAAAGAACAAUUCUUUGCGAUCCGGAGAUGAAUAGUCGCUAUUCUGCAGACGUGCGGUCGUAAAAGAGAAAAAAAGAGAUUGCAGAUAUGCGGCUGGGAAAGAAAAACACCUAGAA
rnacentral:lncRNA from 1 species